CGUAGGGCGCGAGCGUUGUCCGGAUUUAUUGGGCGUAAAGAGCUCGUAGGCGGCUUGUCGCGUCGACUGUGAAAACCCGUGGCUCAACCAUGUGGUCUGCAGUCGAUACGGGCAGGCUAGAAUUCGGUAGGGGAGACUGGAAUUCCUGGUGUAGCGGUGAAAUGCGCAGAUAUCAGGAGGAACACCGGUGGCGAAGGCGGGUCUCUGGGCCGAUAUUAACGCUGAGGAGCGAAAGCGUGGGGAGCGAACAGGAUUAGAUACCCUGGUAGUCCACGCUGUAAACGUUGGGCGCUAGGUGUGGGGGGCCUCUCCGGUUCUCUGUGCCGCAGCUAACGCAUUAAGCGCCCCGCCUGGGGAGUACGGCCGCAAGGCUA
rnacentral:rRNA from 1 species